UUCAACUGAAGAGUUUGAUCAUGGCUCAGAUUGAACGCUGGCGGCAGGCCUAACACAUGCAAGUCGAGCGGAAACGAUCCUAGCUUGCUAGGAGGCGUCGAGCGGCGGACGGGUGAGUAAUGCAUAGGAAUCUACCCAGUCGUGGGGGAUAACCUGAGGAAACUCAGGCUAAUACCGCAUACGUCCUACGGGAGAAAGCGGGGGCUCUUCGGACCUCGCGCGAUUGGAUGAGCCUAUGUCGGAUUAGCUAGUUGGUAAGGUAAUGGCUUACCAAGGCAACGAUCCGUAGCUGGUCUGAGAGGAUGAUCAGCCACACCGGGACUGAGACACGGCCCGGACUCCUACGGGAGGCAGCAGUGGGGAAUAUUGGACAAUGGG
rnacentral:rRNA from 1 species